CCUACGGGAGGCAGCAGUGAGGAAUAUUGGUCAAUGGACGAGAGUCUGAACCAGCCAAGUAGCGUGAAGGAUGACUGCCCUAUGGGUUGUAAACUUCUUUUAUAUGGGAAUAAAAUGUUCCACGUGUGGGAUUUUGUAUGUACCAUAUGAAUAAGGAUCGGCUAACUCCGUGCCAGCAGCCGCGGUAAUACGGAGGAUCCGAGCGUUAUCCGGAUUUAUUUGGUUUAAAGGGAGCGUAGGUGGAUUGUUAAGUCAGUUGUGAAAGUUUGCGGCUCAACCGUAAAAUUGCAGUUGAAACUGGCAGUCUUGAGUACAGUAGAGGUGGGCGGAAUUCGUGGUGUAGCGGUGAAAUGCUUAGAUAUCACGAAGAACUCCGAGUGCGAAGGCAGCUCACUGGACUGCAACUGACACUGAGGCUCGAAAGUGUGGGUAUCAAACAGGAUUAGAUACCCUUGUAGUC
rnacentral:rRNA from 1 species